CCCUUAGAUGUCCUGGGCCGCACGCGCGCUACACUGAUGCAUGCAACGAGUUUAUAACCUUGGCCUGAAAGGUCUGGGUAAUCUUUUGAACGUGCAUCGUGAUAGGGAUAGAUUAUUGCAAUUGUUAAUCUUGAACGAGGAAUUCCUAGUAAACGCGAGUCAUCAGCUCGCAUUGAUUACGUCCCUGCCCUUUGUACACACCGCCCGUCGCACCUACCGAUUGAAUGGUUCGGUGAAGAUCUCGGACUUCGAUAUUUAUUCUUUAUUGAGUUUAUAUUGUGGGAAGUUAUCUAAACCUCAUCAUUUAGAGGAAGGUGAAGCCGUAACA
rnacentral:rRNA from 1 species